UGUGCUCUGUUUACUGAGAACAUUGUGGUGGAUCAGCAGCCAGUCAGGACAGCAGGAUAACAACACAUCAAGGAUCUAUAUUUCAAGAACUCAGUAUCAAAACGGGAAUAAACACAUGCAACGAUCUGGAUUUACAUUUGGAUACUCUAGCAUGCCUCGAAAGGGACAGAAGAAAACCUGGAUUACAUCACUGUGACUUGUUUCAGGGAAAAAAAUACUUGAGGUGGAGCUGCACUGGAAUCGUCCUGCCUUUCAGCUAGCUGGCUAACAUGCAGCGUUAGUGUUUUAUUUUGCACCAAAACUGGAUUAUAACUAGUUGGAAUUUAUAUGUACAACUUGAAGAUCCACCUAUUCGCAUGCAGAGAUGCUCGCAUGCUGGCCUUUCACCUUUUAUCCCUAGCUAGUUAGUCAGCUAGCUACCUCCUAAAGGACCGACUCGUUGGUGCAGCUGAAAGCCGUACCCACGCUGCAUUCUGUCGGCCUCAGCACCUACGCAAUGCCGCGGCUUGGAAAUGGGCCUUGGGUAGGGAGCUAACGCUAGCUCGAUGUAGCAGGUCGACUCAGAUGGUUGUUAUCAUAACAAAGUCGACUUAUAAUUCACAUUACAACAACACAUUUAAAAGCACUCUCUUAAUGUCUUCAAACAUUAUUUGUAAUAAUUUAGUUUUAAAGGCUCAGACGAAGCUAACGCCGGGUAAUCUGCUAAUUAGCCCUCUAGCUAGCAAGCCUAACCCUACAUAAGCGUCUGGUGUGGCUGUGUUUUUAUUAUUUUUUACAAUAAUAAUAGUAUAAAUAAGAUGUUUUGAUGUUGCACUUUACCUGAAUAAAGUCUCAAAGUUCAUCUUAAAGUAGACUGAAAGAUUCAACUAAAGCAAAGAAAAACAAGACACAAAAAUCAAGAUAUGAAAAUAUAAGUUUAAUACAAAAAUCCAGAAAAGCUGUCCUGUAAAAUAAAGUUACAAUAUAAUCAAACGAUACAGUGUGAGCAUUGAAAUCUGCAUUUAAAAUUUGGCUUAGAAGCAGUUUGAGGUUAUCAAACUGUGGUAUUUUGUGUAGUAAUGCAGCAAUUCAACUUAAUAAACCACAUAGAAUUGCACAUGCAAUAACGCUUUUACAAACACUUGCAAACUAUGUUAUCUAUGCAAGCGUUUGGCAGAAACAAACGUCAUUAAAGAAGCUUGUAUGGGAUUAUUUAAAUUGGCAUAGCCGCCUAACCCCACACAUGUAAACAAAUCUGUCCAUGUGUGCUUUGCGGUGAGUUAUUUAAGUGCAAGCUGUCACUAAGUAUUCAUUAUAAUGUUAUUCUAACAUCAGUUGCACAUGUUGAGUCAGUUACUUUGAAUUGCACUCGAGAAAAUUAGCUGACACUAAAAUGCGUGGGACUCUUUGACCUCCUGCUGCACAGCUACACAUAUCAGCCCUUCAUUUAUGAUUGAUGACCUUUGAGGAAGCAGACUAUCCUGUAUCCAUUUCCUACUACCACUACUACACUAAGCCACUAACAGUCUCAGUGGUAGUAUUUAUAUUUAAACCACUACUGCAACCAAGUGAGAAGAUACACUAAAGGGGGGGCUUGAGUUUUAGUUUUUAGCCGCACUUUCUUUCAAAUGGGAACAUGAGGAGCACCGUGUCCCACCUGAACCACCUUCAAAGUAGCUCAGAGAUCUGAUCAAAGCACAACAGAGAUCCUCAUUGUGUGGACUGAAAUACCGAAGAGGACGAGAUGAAGAUGAUGAUGACAGUGAUGGGGAUGAUGAUAAAAGAGGCGCAGUGACAGUGUUGAUCCCGCACCAGGAAGCAGAGGAGUGUCGCAAGGCCGCAGACAUGAGUCUCCGCCAGCCCACCUCUACACUGGACAGGCUCAGCAGUCUCACCAUCGGGGACUCGGAGCGCAAAUCCUCUGCAGCCCAGCAGAGGGAGCCAUCGCUCGACUUCUCUGUUGAGAGUACGGGUCCUGGUCUUGUGCAUAGAUGUGUGGUGGUGCAGAAGGACCAGCUCGGCUUUGGCUUCACAGUAUGUGGAGAGAGAGUGAAGCUCGUACAGAAUGUCCGAUCAGGUGGUGCUGCAGUCAAGGCGGGGGUCCAAGAGGGGGACAGAAUCAUAAAGGUGAACGGGUCACUGGUGUCCUCCAUGUCCCAUCAGGAGGUGGUGAAGCUCAUCAAAUCUGGACCAUAUGUAGCCCUGACUCUACAAGGACCAGCCCCUUCAGCUGCUUCCUUGCCCUUGGAGCCCCUCCUCACUGACCUCACACCCAAUCAGAGAACGUCUCUGGGCGGGGAGGCUCCACCCCCUCCGCCUCCACCUUUGCCCUCUGGACUGAGCAGAGAAUCCCAAAGAAUCACAGGACCCAAACCACUACAGGACCCAGAAGUGCAGAAACACGCCACUCAGAUACUCAGGAAAAUGCUGGAACAGGAAGAAGCUGAACUGCAGGACUUGCUGGAGGAGAAGUUGAGGAACCCGUCUCCAUCUCUGGAGGAGCGGAUUGAAAGUGCAAAGAGGAGAGCCAACCAAGUCCGAGUCAAGAUUCAGCAAGAUCUGGAGGGAACACGAUCAGAAUCUAAAACCAGCUACGUCCUUGCAGGAGAAGGUCGACUAUCGAUGGACUCCGGCGAAGGAGACGUGGAGGCCUUUGAGAGUCCCUACUCCUCCCCCUCAUCCUCCUUCAGGAUCCCCCAACACAGACGGCAGAGCUCUGGCACACACACCCUGUCUGAUUUGGGUGGAAAGACUCAGAUCAUCGGCCCCGAGGAGGAGGAUGAAGAAGAUAACGGCUAUGCAUUCAAUGAGAUGGACGGUCCGUUUCAGGACAUCGAGCUGCUAAAGUCCCGACCGGCACACAUGACCGUGUUCAUGAGAUACAUUUUCACCCAGCUUCUAGACCCCAACCCUCUGCUGUUUUACCUGUCGGUGGAGGCCUACCUGGGCUCCAGUCCUAAGGACGCACGCACACUCGCACCUCAGAUCUGCUCCCAUUUCCUGGACCCUGACGCUCCUCUGAAAAUCAAAGUGCGAGAGGAGUAUCUGUCAGAUAUAGAAAGUCGACUCCAUGCUCAGGAGGACAUCAGAGGACCUCUGUCCGAGCUGCAGCAGCAAGUGCUGCCUGACAUCCAGGACCAGAUUCAGGACUACAGGAACAAGCAGAUGAUGGGUCUGGGCUCUCUGUUUGGAGAGGGGGACCUGCAGCAGCUGGAUGGGGACCCGCUGAAGGAGCGACAGGUGGUGGACAGACAGGUCACUGCGCUCUGGGAAAUACUAUCAAAGCACGAAGAGGACAGAAGCUCUCCGCUGGCGUCGGCCGUGCUCCUCUACCUGCGGCACUCUGGCAUCAAACUGAGGGACUCCAAGGUUUUCCCCGGUCUGAGCACAGAGAAGGAGAAGUGGCUCGCUUUCCUGAAGACCAAAAAGCUGAGUGGUAUCAAGAAGGAUAAAGAUGGAGAGGAUAAAAAGAGAAAUCCCAUCCUGAAGUACAUCGGCAAACCCAGGACCACAUCCCAGUCCACAUUCCAUAUCCCGUUGUCACCCACUGAAGUCCGUCCCGGUAGCGUGAGGAACAUCAUUCAGCAGUUUGAGAACAACACAGAGACGGGGGAGGAGGGAGGGGACGGCGCCGACCCCCAGAGGCUCUCCACUAGCAGUCUGGGAGAUGACAGCAUGGACAGCCCGACGGUCUCUGUGCGUCUGGCUCGUAGUGAGUCCCUGAAGGCUCAGGGAGAAGGUCGGCGGCGGGGUGUCGUCUCGGGGACAGAGUCCGUCCCUCGCUCCCGCAGCGACGUGGACAUGGAGGACUGCGGGGAGGAGAGGGAGGGGCCGGGGCUCAGGCCGCUGCAGCACAGCACCUCGUCGUCUGCAUCCAGCAGCUCUGCACGGUCUCUAGAGAACCCUACACCCCCAUACACUCCUCGGUCUAGACGCAGGAGCGUAGAGUCGCCGUUGGCUCUGCUGCCGGACGCCGCGGCCCUGGAGGAGGAGGUGUGUGAUAGUCAGAACUGGCAGGACACGGUUCCCCCUCAGCUCCUCGCCACACUCAGUACGAGGGAGGUGGACAGACAGGCCGUCAUAUACGAGCUUUUCACCACCGAGGCGUCCCACCUGCGGACCUUGAGGGUCCUGGACCAGGUGUUCUUCCAGAAAAUGAGGUCUGUGCUGAACUCUGAUGAGCUGGCCUGCAUCUUCCCCAACCUGCCCCAGGUCUAUGAACUCCACGCAAGUCUGUGCGAGGCGAUGAAGAAGCGAAGAGAGACGCCCAUCGUGCAGGACAUCGGGGACGUCAUGCUAGCCAGGUUUGAAGGUGCAGCUGGAGACGAGUUUCAGGAACAAGCAUCUCAGCUGUGCAGCCAGCAGACUCAGGCUCUGGAGCUCAUCAAGAACAAACAACGCAAAGACCCCCGCUUUGCCCACAUCAUCCAGGAGUGUGAAGCCAGUCCUCACUGUCGGCGGCUGCAGCUCAAAGACCUGCUGGUGUCAGAGAUGCAGAGACUCACAAAAUACCCUCUGCUGCUGGACAACAUCAUGAAACACACAGAGGCUGGAUCGUCAGACCUCCCCUUUCUUCAGAGCGCUCAGGUGUGUUGCCGAGGAAUACUGCAGGCGGUAAACGAGGUCGUGAGGGAAACAGAACACCGGCAACGACUCAACCAGUACCAACGCAGGCUGGAUGCUGCGCCUCAGUUCAAGAGUCUGGACCUCACCACGAAGAGAAUGAUCCACGAAGGUCCUCUGACGUGGAAAGUCAGCAAAGACAAGCAGAUAGAGAUCCAAGCACUGCUGCUGUCCGACUGCCUCGUCCUCCUGCAGCGGAGCCCGGAUGACCGGCUGCAGCUCCGGUAUCCCUCCCGCUGGCUGGGCGGAGGCGGAGGAGGCAGCGUGGACAGCAAGACUUCUUUCAGUCCCCUGGUGAAGCUGGACUCGCUGCUGGUGCGAUCGGUGGCUACAGACAACAAAGCCCUCUACGUCAUCAGCACCACGGAGAGGCAGAUCUAUGAGCUGGUGGCCGGGACGUCAUCGGAGAAGAACACCUGGAAAGAUUUACUUGAAAAGACCAUCUCGUCCUCUGGAGGCUCAUCACCCCUGAUCAAUCACGGAUCCAUGCGUCUCUCAUCUCGCAGUCUAGGCAGUGCAUCCCCGGUCUCAACUGGCAGCAACGUCUUUGCAGAUAACUCUAUGACAGAGCAGUCAGAGGCUCACUCCUCAAACGACGACAUCAGGCUCUCAGCAGUCGCACCUUCAAGCCAAUCAGAGAGAAAAUCAGCCGGUGUGGCCGAGGCGGCUUUACAAGACGUGGAAACUCUUCGGCAGCUCAUAAUAAGAGAUUUAGAAGAGGAUGGUUGGAGCCACGAUUCAGACGACACGCCCACCAACGAGACGGGCAACGAAAGGAACUCGUUCGCAGAGAGGCAGCGGCCGGAGUCCCUCGAGACUGUCCUCAACUUCAGCACCAACGAAUGGGAGGCAGAGCCUGAGGGAGUUCCGCCCCCAGAGGCGGAGCAACCGAGUGUUCAGGUCGUGAGGAAAGCUGUGGGUGCGGGUCCUUCUUCUUCUACUUCUGUCCCUGAUGACAUCACUGAUGAUGUCUCCGGCCAGUCAUCAAAGCGGAGAGGCGGCGCCGCUGCGCAGGGUAAUGAUGACUAAGUUGGUCAGGGAACACUUUCUACCUGGUCAUGCCUACAGAGCAGGGCGAAAGUGUCACCGAUGACCCCGAAGACCCUCCCACCCCUGUCGCCACCCAUUUCCCACAGCCCCUGGAGGAAAUCAUGUCACUACAGACGCAGCCGGAGGAGGAGACGCCCGCCUCCACACAGGAACCCGACAAAUCAGAGGCUGUGCCGCUGGAACAGAAAGAGGAGGAGGAAACGGGCCAAUCACAGGCGGGGCACCAGAGCCAUGUUAUCAAAAACGUGGACGAGAUUUUUCACACGAUCGAGGGGUUAAUGAGCAAGCUGCGCCAGCUGAAGGAGAUAGAGAAGGCCCAUCAAAAACUUCUGAAAACCCUCAGAGAGCCGUCUGUCAAUCAGGAGUCAGAGGAUCAACUGUGUCUCUCCGCAACUGUCUCCAGAACACCGUCUCUGGAUCGUAGCUCCGUAGACGGUAAGGAAGGCAGUCCAGCUGAGCCCAAGAUUCAGUCCACUGGAUUCUGAAGCUGAGCGCACAGAGGGGAUUUACUUGUAGUUGCUCAUAUGGACGCACAAAAAUGUACUUGCUGUCUGACACUCGAGCAGCUCAGCCCCGCCUCCCCUACCCCUCUUUUGCCCCUCCUCCUCCUCUCUGCAUGUACAGACCAGCAGCAGAACAGAUCCCAGGAUGGACCAUGACUGUUUUUUGUUUCUAUUGUUCGUUUUCUGCUGGCCGGACUCUGCAGGGUUUCUGAAGUCUGCAAAACACCUCUGAUUCUUCCAGAGCAUGAAGGGGGUCCAGGACAGAGUGAGGGAAUAAAAGUACGAUGCAACAAAAAGUUGACCAGAAAGAGAGGGGGGAAAAAGUCGGAAGUAUUGAAAGUGGAAUAAAAUGAGCGAGGUGGAUACUUGUGAAGGAAGACUGGGACGUAGGUCUCGCUUUGAGGAGCUGGUUUUUGAAGGAGCGGAUCAGAAAAGUGUUGAAAUGUUAAUUUAAGGAAAAUCCAAGGGACCCAUCACCCCUGCACUUUACCCACAAUGCAUCCCUCUCUAUGUUGGACGGAUCAGGGACUGGAGGUGCCACUGGUUCUAUGUUUGAGCCAAAAUGGCCUCUGUGGGGUUCCCCUCCCCUCUUGCCUCCACUGGAUGCUUUACACUGAGUUCACCUGCCACCACGGCCGAAGGACUGUGUUGUUAUUAUUCAGGUUAUUUGCACUGGGUAAGGAAAACAAUAUCACACACACACACACACACACACAGUUUUACACACAUAUCAUUUAACCACUUCAUUCAUCUCCAUCUUUGUUCCACAUCGGGAAUCACUAACAUAUCCUUGAACCUUCAUUUAAGCUACAGAAUGACAGUUUGGAAAGCUUCAGUGCAACAUUUUCAUCUUUGAAUGCAUCAUUUUUGUUUGUUUUGUUGUAAGUCUGGAAACACUACUGCGCUGUUUACUACUGAAAUGCUGGCAGAUUUUUCUCCUUUUUUCUCAUUUCCAGCGCUGCAUCAGAGGCUCACAGGGAUUUCAAACACAAGCUCAGUGGAGUCAAACAGCUGAUCAGAUCGCGCUUUCAAGAUAAGGGAUGUUUUAGGGAGAGAGAAGUUCCAGGACAAGCAAACGUUCAGGUUGAGGUAACGAGACAAAUACCGAUUCAAACUCGGGAAACUUGAAUUUUCGCUGUUUGUCGCUCGAUGAAUUAGCUGCCAAAUAUCACCGCUGACAUCUUCACGGUCUUUGCCGUGAGACGCGACCAUGCAUCUUGUAGCGGACUUUGUGUGUAAAUACAGCGGUCAAUACUGUGAACCAGCAGCUUCUCCCUUCACCCUUCUCCUGUCGAGUGGUCGUACCAUAUGCAGUGUUAAUAAUAUCCAUGCAGCCCACAUCCAAAGCAAUGAGAGGACUGUGCUCUUUACCAAGUAGCUUUCCACACAGAGAGAGAGAGCGGGAGCCAAGUUUCACUGGAAGACACGGAGCAAAGUACCAACACGUCAACGUCACGAAAACAAACUGCUAUUACCACGAUGAAGCUCAAAUGAAUUUAAAGGAACAGUUUCACAUUUUGGGAAGGGUAUUGUUUAGCUACACCACUUUCAUAUCUGGAGGUAUGAGGCUACCGCUAGCAGCUAUUUAGCUUAGCCUAGCCUAAAGGAAAUGAAGGGAAUCGCCCGCCUGGGCUUGGUUGACAGAAACAACAUCUUCUUACAUGCUCGACAAAGCUGAAGUUAAUCCAGGUGUCGUAUACAGGAUCUGGACGUAUGAGGCUACUGCUUGAAGCUGGUUAGCAUAGCUUAGCCAAAAUGAAACAAAGGGCAACAUCCAGUUUGGGCUUGUCUGAAUUAAACUAAAUUAAUUUGCAUGCUUGCUGAUGCUAAAAGCUCAUUGAGAUGUAGCAUAUGGGAUCUGGAUGUAUGAGGCUACUGCUAGCAGCUGCUUAGCUUAGCUUAGCUUAGCUUAGUCUAAAGACACAAAAGGGAAUCAUCCAGUUUGGGCUUGUCUUAAGGAAACAAAAUCUAAGACAUGUUUCCAAAGCUACAGCUAAUCUAGAUGCAUUUGGGACCUGGAUGUAUGAGGCUACUGCUAGCAGCUGGUUGGCUUAGCUUAGCCUAAAGUAACCAAAGGGAAGCAUCUAGUUUGAGCUUGUCUGAAGGAUACAAAAUACACUUGUGAAAGCGAAAGCUCAAAGCUAAUGGAGAUGUAGUAUAUGGGAUAAUGUAUAGUGAACAGGUGGUUGUGCAAGUCAGAUUCCUAUCAGAUUCUGGAUCACGCACCUGUUCACUAUACAUUGUCCUGCUUGUUACACCACGCUCAUACACACAAAACAUUGGUUGCAGGUCGUCAGAUGACGCUGUUAUGACAAGACGACUCCAGGAAGUGACGGAGCCAAACCAAGUAUUUAAAAAAACAGCAGAAGCAGCUAGCUGUUUUUCCCGUUUUAGGCUUCAAGCUAAGCUAAGCUAGCAGUAGCCGUAGCCUUGACUUCGGACUGAGCACACAAAGCUGGCGGUGAUCUUAUCUCAAAUUUGGUAAAUUGGAUACUGUGUUUCCCAAAAUGUCAAACUCUGCCCUGUUUUCAGUCAAAUGUAUGAGCUGUUUAAUGUUUACUCCGUUAGUUUACUACGUAUUUACGUUCCAAUUUUUUUUAUUUUUGAGGCACAUUUUACAAAGACUGACCCUAAAGCCUGGUUUAUACUUCUGUGUUGACUCUACGCGGUCUGUCUCUGUUAUAAUCCACCUGAACGCUCGUGGGCGGUGUGAUUUCUACGCUAGUCAGGUCGCCUGAUUCCGCUUAUUAUGCUAAGUUGAAGCUGAUUGAUGUUGUAACACAAGAAAAAAGAGUCGACAUCAGAUGGGAUGUGAAGUCGAUUUACAGCAACUCUGGAAAUGUUGUAAACACAGGAAAUACGAUGCUGCCCAGCGGACCAAUCACAGGGCUUGCAGCGUUUCAAUGCGUAGAUUUGACACAAGAAGUAUUGACCAGGCUUCUUUCUCCAUUCCUCAAACUCUGGAAAUAUUUCCUGACACGUCGCACAGAAACAUGUAUUUAAUCUGCCGCAAAGAAAGAACUACCAUUUUUUUAAAGUAGCUCUUCUUUUUUCUUUUAUUAAGCUACAAGAAACCGUACAGACUGAAUAUUAUUUGAGCUGGUUUCAAAUACUAACAGACGUGUGCUUUAGAGAGUCACUCAGACUUCCUACCUUCCUUAAAAACAACACAAACAGAACCAAAUCUCUUCACACACUACACAUGAUUCUACCACUAAAAACUGAGGGUUUUUAAACUCUUUACUCCAAUGUAGCUCCAAUAAGGAAUGUCACUUUGGCACAAAAAAGGAACCUUCAAAAUAAGAGCUACGUACACAUCACAGGUCAGGGGAUCUGAGGGACUGAUGUGCUUGAACUUGAGGAAUUUGUUCUAAAAAUGGAAAAAGUUCAACCAAAGUGAAAUGUCUCUCCUGUGGGGUUUAAGGGAACUGUUUUUUCUUCCUUUCUUUCUGGACAUUUCCUCUGCUGGUUAUCAAUCAUCUCACUACAGAAGAAAAAAAGACUUGACCACAUUUGUCCAUAAUUUGACAUGAAACGCCUAUUUUUCUUUCAUCUCCCCUCCCUUCUCUCGACUACAGCAUUUUUCAUCUCCAAUUUUCUACCUCUACACUUCAGUUUCUUUACAUCUUCAAUCAUUUCUUUUACUUCACACAUCUCUCUUGUACAUUGACAUCAUCAGCGUUGCAGCUCUGACUGGCUGAAAAAAAAAGCUACAACUGAUUCCUUUUUUUUUUUUCUUUUAAGAAAAGUUGCACAAAAUCUUCCCUUGCAUGGUGCAAACUACUGUAUGCAUACACACGUCUUUAACUCUCAUCUCAUUGUCUUUUAAUUUGUAUCUUUUUUUUUUUUUUAAAGAGAAAACAACAAAAAAAAUCUUGUUCACUCAUGUAAUAUAGAGAGAUCAGACCCACAUGUUUUAUAUAUGUUAAUUUUUUUUCUGUAAAGCCUUAGUCCUUGUAUUUGAUUUUAUUUUUGUAGAUAUGAUUUUAAAAAAAAGGAUGUAUAAAUUAUUUUCUUCUCCCUUGUUUUUAAAAUUGGUGAGAUUGUUUAGCUGCACAGAAGGAAAAGAAGAGCUCAUGUCUCAGAUUCAUGUGUUUGUGAGAUUAAAAACGAAACUGGAUAAAGAAAACAUCGUGAA